UCCGCACAUACCCAUAGCUCCGGGCCUCCUCCGGGGCCGGGCUGGGAGCUCGGCGCUGUCCGGCGGGCGGCCGAGCACUGGCCCGGGUGGGCUGGGACGAGCUGCGAGGCCCAGAAGCGGAGGAGGCGGAGACGCCAGCCGAUAGGUCGGCCCCAGGUGCUGGAGUGGGUGUGGGAGGGGUGGCCCGGCCCAGCAGGUCCGGCCCCCAGCCCCGGGAGGAAGAUCCCAGGGUCUCAGGCCAGUGCCGGGGCCCAGCUCCCCCACGCGCUCCUCCUGGCCUAGUCACUUAAAUUCCAGUCUGGCCGCCUCUCCUCCCUCUCGCGGCCCUAGGCCCUAAGGCUCCCACCCACCUUUGGCACAGUCUUUCUUGGUCUGUCUCCUGACUGGCAAGCUUCGAGCUGCAGGGGAAGAAGUGGGAGAGGCACAUACCUGGGCGGGGCCCCUAGCAGGCAGCAGCUGCUCUGAGGCAGGCCCUGGGUGGAGGGGCGGCCGCUCUUGGGCGCUCAAAGCGAUUACUCAGAGUCCAAAUCUCUGCUCCCCCUGGAAAGCACGUUCUCCCUAGAACCCCACCCCCAGGUCAUCAGGAGUGUAAAGACCUCUGCCUCCGUGUGUGAUUUCAUAAUACAUCCACAGUACCCUCGGGAAAGGGCAAGAGAAAGUAACUUUAGGACCUUUCAAGGCUCCUGCUCACAGCCAAGGGCAGAGCUGGCAAGGCCUGAAGUUUAGGGCCCAUCCAGGCCAGUCCCAUCCUGGCUGGGCUUUCUGGUCAUCUCUUUUUGCCCAGUGGUGAACACAGAAGGCAGAGCAGAGCAGAGCCUGUGAUCCACGACCCUUGACCCCUGCGCCUCACCACCCUGGAAGCCAAAGUCCUUGCCCAUAACCCAACAGUGAAAGGAUCUGGUUCUCUCGGGGCGUCCAAAGAUACAGGAUGAAGCGAAAUCACUGGGGUGGCUCAGUCUCCUCCCAGAACUGCGUGUGGCAUCGAUGAGGACAGGACUAAGCAACAGCUCUCGGAGACAUUUUGUCUUUCAGGUUUCCUGAAGCUGCUCCAGUAGAUGCCAAUACCCCACCCCCCCAACACACACACAUGCUAAGGGUGACAAUGACCAGAGUCCAUUUACAUCUGCCUUCUUCAUUUAUUUUUUUAUUUGCAGGAGGAGUUGAAACAAAUUUUAAAGGUGUUUUCAUUUUUUUCCCCUAAACAUGAAUCAUUCAAGUAAAACCAACUUAACUAUAGAAAUGUAGCAAAGUAAGGGGAAAGAAGCACAACAACCCAAGAGGCAAAGGUUGGGGGGGGGGGCAGAGGUGGGUGCAGUCCGCAUAUAACAUAUGCAUAAAUGCCAUAUGAUUCACCUGCUCAGGACCGCCUCCCCAGAAGGCAAGCACAAGGACCCAUUUUAAGAGGAUGUUUUCCCCCCAAACAUCCAAGAAUGUUUCAACUUAAAGCUUAUGGUUAAUAAAAAAAAAAAAAAAAAAAAAAA